GACCUCCGCAUGGCGGCAGCCGGUCCCGAGUCCUGCCCAGCAGGGAGGCGGCUGAGGCCUGGCGAGAAUUCCAGCAUGGCGCAGGCGGGCCGGCAGUGCUGGGGGACCCGGCGCACCCUCCGCAGCCACCGUGGGACGGAGGGGCAACAGGGCUCCCGGACUCUGCAAAGGAUGCUGUGGCGGAGACUGAUACGGGUCUGAGACGGCUGUCCAAGGCCCAAGUGAGAGUUAAACCACAUGCCCAGCCAGUGCUCACCACCCGGGCCAACACCAUGUCUCCAAAGCACGGCACAGGACAUUCCACCAACGGAGCAUCCCAAAAGGGAAUAAACUAGAGAUACCGGCUGGCUCAUCCCAUCAACCAUGUGGGAGACUCGGCGCCUGCAGAUGCGGUGGGACCUGCCUCCAUUAAAGGCACCUUCCGUGGGGACAGCCAGGACUCCCACGCGGAGCACAGCAGAACCUGUGAACGAGACCUUGUUUGGAGAAAGGAUCUGGAAAUGAGAUCAUCCUGGAUUAUCCACAGCUGAGCCCUAAAUCCAAUGGUGGAGAAAAUGAAGGCUGCAUACGUGGUUGGCGUGAGGAAAAGUCAGUUGACGGGAAUUUCCUGAUUUAAGGGAAGGUUCAGCUGCAUCUGUAUGCUAAAGGGCUGUCCUCCAGAUCAGAUCAAGAAGCCUCGGGAAGGUAAUGCAAAAGAAUUUCUGAUAUCCUUGGUGUGGGGGAAAUUUGUUACACGGACACAGAAAGCCUUGCCUUGCAGGAAAAGAUUCUUAGAAGGCACCAGAUUAAAAGAAAGAACUUCUGUUCCUUGAAAACACAUCAUCAAGAGAGUGAAAAGGCAAACCCCAGGGUAGUAGAUGUUUGCUACACACAACAAAUGUUGGCUUGUCUCCAGAAUAUAUAAAGAACCUCUACAGAUGAAUAGGAACUCAAUACACAAAGGGCAGCCGGCUUGAACAGGCCCCUCGGGGACGGGGGUAUCCAAGUGCCCAGUGCUUGGUGGGAAGCACUCAGCUUCGUUAGUAUGACCAGGAAAAUGCAAAUCAUAAGGCUUCCACACAGGCUUAGAAAAGGCUAAGACAUUGCAAAGUCUGACAGUGGCAAGUGCGGGCAAGGACGUGCGUCAACAGGAAACUGUGGGGGUGAAUGGCUUUAAUCUCUUUGGGAAACUGCUUGGCAUCAUCUGAUGAAUGUAAAGACACACUAGAUCCCAGACUCAAUGGCUCCACUUCCAGAUUGACCCAAGAGACUCGUGCCCACGUGCCCCAAAGAACAUCCCAGGGAUGCCCACGACAGCUUCAUCCCUAGUUGCCAAGAAAGGGGAACCGCGUGGACACGUGCCUGCUGACAGUAUGGCGAUCUGAGGGACAGCGGGCAUCCCCGCGGGAGUGUGGGCAGCACUGAGCACGAGCGCCUGGGGCUCCUCGACGCAGUGUGGACGGACCACUCGCGCACACUAUUGAUCCACGUGAGCCAGCACAGCAGGGUGCCCACUUCGUGGCUUCUGGUUAAACGUUAAAAAUGGGCAAAGCCACAGCACGGUGCUCAGGAAUUGGAGCUUCCAUGGGAAAACUGGCGGUGAGUAAGACCCCAUCCCACUCCCAGAACACGAAGAGAGGCAGCCCAGAACAGCUGGCACUAGAACUGCAGGUGGACUGUGCCAGGUGCCAGGUGGGGCCCUCACAGCAGGCGGCCUGGGGACACGUGGGCACUGGCGAAGGUGGCAGGAACAAGCCUGGUGGGAGGUGAGGCUGAAAUGAGGUUCACCCCAGUGGCUCCAUCCACGGCCCAGGCUCUUCUGGCACUGAGAAGGCAGAGGUGGCACCCCGCCGAGGGGCAGAGGAAACCGGCCCUUGGGCAGCCUUAGGAGAAGCGGGGGCCGGUGUGCGCAGGAGAGGGUGGACGCCCCAGAAGCAGCCACGGUGGCCAGGUCAGCUGUGAGAUGCCACGGGUGGGAGAUGCAGGUAGCUGUGCAGCGGUGCCCUGGGCUCAGGGGAAGGGGCUGGGUCAGGUCCCCGGGGCUGGCUGGGGUCUGGACAUGGCUCCCUGGCCCUGAGGCACCAGCAGCAGUUCUGAGUGGGGUGGGACUGGCCUGGUGUGUUUCUGGGCGGGGAUCCAGUGUGAGCGGGUGAACAGUGAGUGGUGGCCAUGGGCACGCUGAGGUAAGCACACUUCGCCCACCUCUGUGAGCCAGGAAGACGUGUCACAUGCUUCCUGACAAGGCAGAGGGUGCUGGGAGCUCGCCUGUGUCAGACAUGAGGGCACUUGGACCAGGGCCUGAGUUUGAAGCCACAUCCAUACCCCAUACACGGUGCUGGCUGCUCCCGGCCCCACUGACUGAUGACUGAUGGCCAGAGGGAGGCAGCAGCUGUGUGAAGUCACCUGGCAGGUGCGGCUGUUGGUGGCAUUCCCUGGGCGGAGGCCACGUUGGACAUUUGUGAACAAAUGAGCAGGUCGGGGUUACAGGAUCUGGGAAAUGUGGUCUGUGAUGCCACGUGCCCUGGGUGAUCACGUGGAGCCCACAUGGGCAAGCACCUUUUAUCAUGCCAAGAAGUCAAACGUGGGAUGCCAUGUGGGGAAGAUGCCCUGGGUGGGGAAUCCUUGUGGGGGUUGUCCUGGGUGGUGCAGCCUUGGAGAAGGAAUGGCCUAGGGGGUGGCUCUGGGAUGUGGAUGUCCUGGAAGGGGGAAAGCCCUUAGGGGGAAAGCCUGUUGCAGAUGCCCUAGGAGGGAAGCCCUGUGUGAGAGAUCAUCUGGGUGGGGGCUGCCCCGGGUGGGGGAUCAUCUGGGUGGCAGAUCAUCUGGGUGGGGGAUCAUCUGGGUGGAGAAUCAUCUGGGUGGAGGACCAUCUGGGUUGGGGAUGCCCCAGGUGGGGGAUCAUCUGGGUGGGGGCUGCCCUGGGUGGGGGCUGCCCUGGGUAGAAGAUCAUAUCAGGGGGAUGUGGUGGGUUAUGGCCCUGUGGCACCCCCAAACACACACACACCAAGAAGAAGCUGGUCUCCCUAGGAGGAGGAUCCACACAGGGCACCUUGGGGUUUGGCUCGUGCAUGCUGGGGACAAGGCCUGAGCCCCAGAUGUGGCUGGGCCUGACCCAGGCAGCUCAACACCUUCCUUCCCAGGAAACACCUUUUGCUCGAGCAGUAGGAACUAGGCGUGUGUAGAUUCUGCUGCCUGAUCCUGGCUCCUGACUGAGGGUCUGUGGGCUCAGAGGGACUUGACACCCAGCCACAACCCUCCUGGGCACAGCCUUCUGGCUCCCCCAGCCCAGGCGGAGGCAUUGAGCGACUCUCCUCACCCAGAGUGUCUUCCCGAAGGCGCUUCUGCCUGAGGGCACCAGGCUGGGCCAGGGAAUUCGGGAAGAUGGACCAACCGCAGCUCUAAGAUUAAAAUGCAGCCAGUGACCAGCGGAGCUUCCUCCACGCACACGCGGUCCAAUCCCCAUGACUUCAUGUUUUGUGAAGAUGCAGAGCGAGUUCAUGCCGGCGCCUUUCUGAAUCAGAGAUCCCUUUAGAAACCAUGAAAGCUGCAGACCCCUCCCGGGAAAACGCACACACCCUCCUGGAGCUCGCCUUCCGCAGCCGCUCCCGGAGCCCGCCCCUCCCCCGCAGGCCCUCCGAGGAUCACGUGGUGGGGAGGGGCUGGCACCGAGCGGCUGACAGGCGCGAGAGCCCAGUUCAAGGCGCCGGCAUCAGGCUGCAGCUGCCUCACUCCCCUCCACUUCCUGCCCCUUCCCGGCCUUGGUCCAGCCCCAUCUCCUACUCCCAGGCCACAGGGAGCUGGGUCACCUCCCAGGGGCAGGGGCUGGCUGGGCGCGGGGGGAGACCUCUCCCCCUGAGAAGUCAGGCGGGGAGGGGUGGCCGGGGUGG